AUUGAACGCUGGCGGCAGGCCUAACACAUGCAAGUCGAACGAGUGGCGGACGGGUGAGUAAUGUCUGGGAAACUGCCCGAUGGAGGGGGAUAACUACUGGAAACGGUAUCUAAUACCGCAUACUACUGGAUGUGCCCAGGUGGGUUUAGCUAGUAGGUGUGGUAACGGCGCACCUAGGCGACGAUCCCUAGCUGGUCUGAGAGGAUGACCAGCCACACUGGAACUGAGACACGGGCCAGACUCCUACGGGAGGCAGCAGUGGGGAAUAUUGCACAAUGGGCGCAAGCCUGAUGCAGCCAUGCCGCGUGUAUGAAGAAGGCCUUCGGGUUGUAAAGUACUUUCAGCGAGGAGGCGUUACUCGCAGAAGAAGCACCGGCUAACUCCGUGCCAGCAGCCGCGGUAAUUC
rnacentral:rRNA from 1 species